GAAAUUUAAGGGCGUACGGUGGAUGCCUUGACUUUAAGAAGCGAUGAAGGACGUGGCGUUGCUGCGAUAAGCUUCGGGGAGGUGCUUAGCAACCUUUGAUCCGAAGAUUUCCGAAUGGGGAAACCCUAUCAAGUAAACCUUGAUAAUUUUUUACGCAAGUAAAAUCUGCACACCUUGGGAAGUGAAACAUCUCAGUACCAAGAGGAAUAGAAACAAAUAUGCAUUUCCUUAGUAGCGGCGAGCGAAAAGGAAGGAGCCCAAACCGUAGUCGCAAGACUGCGGGGUUGUAAGGUAACAAUGUAGUUUACUAGAGGAGUCAAAAAAUAAAUUAUUAGCUUAAGUUGCUGGAAAGCGACACCAUAGGGGGUGAUAGUCCCGUGAGCGAAAAUAAUUUAUCUCUUUUAUUGUUAUUCUUGAGUACCCCAGGACAUGAGUGGCCGGGGGGAAUCCAGCGGAACUAACCGCUAAGGCUAAAUAUUCUUAAAGAUCGAUAGUGAACAAGUACCGUGAGGGAAAGGUGAAAAGCAGCCCGAUUAGGGCGGUGAAAUAGACCUGAAACCGUAUGUCUACAAGGAGUUGAAGUAGGGCCUCGGCUCUACGACAGCGUGCCUAUUGAAGAAUGAGCCAACGAGUUUAUGCAUACUGCUAGGCAAAGUGGACUAAAACCACAGAGCCAGAGGGAAACCGAGUGUUAAUAGCGCGACUGUAUCUUUAUUGAUACGGGUAGAAUGCAUAAGACCCGAAGCCAGGUGAGCUUGCCAUGAGCAGGUUGAAGUAGGUCGAAAGAUCUAUGGAGGACCGAACCGGUAGAUCGUACAACGUCUUCGGAUGACUUGUGGUAAGGAGUGAAAAGCUAAUCGAACCUGGUAAUAGCUGGUUCUCUCCGAAAUAGCUUUAGGGCUAGCGUCG
rnacentral:rRNA from 1 species